ACCCUACGUAGACUUUUACCACAAAAUCACCCAGGAAACCUCCAUGUAUUGAUGUGCCCCACACCUGAGACAGCUUUCAGACAGACCUGCCUCUUCUUCUCUGAGGCAGGAUUGGUCCCUGAUCCAAGCCUAAGUAUACCCCCAACCCACCCCCAGGCGCUCUGGGAACUGACUGUCAAUCUCUGACAACCCUCAGGUCUCAGAAGUCAGUCGCUUUACAGUUACAUGACAGUGGGCCCAGGGCCACUUUUGACUCUAGCUCUGUUCAAGCCUGGAGCCUGCAGACACCACUUUGGUAAAAUUCACACCGCAAUCAAACAGAACGGAUAUACUCUAGUGGGCUUACGUGUGCUUCUGCUGGACUCGAGCGUGGCAAAUGCACUGAUUCAUCCACCAGAGCAACAGAUACCCUGCUUGCAUUCCGAUCCUAAAGUUAGUUUGGACCGUGAACAGCUGCACACCCUUAGAACCGCUGACAAAGACGAGUUUUCUUCAGGAUUCGGUCAAGGCAAGGCAUGA
rnacentral:lncRNA from 1 species